ensembl:lncRNA
CUCCCAACCAACUUUUCAGCAGAAAACUGUGUGUCAGGCACACUGCAACCACUGCGAGCCCAAGAAACGUCUUUUAUUUUCAAAAUGUGUAAUGCUGACAAGAAGAAAAGACAAAUAGAUGUCUGAGAGCAUGUAUUUUCCACCAGUUUACAGCUUCUGUCUGUUCAGGAACGCGGUGAGAGGUCUCGUCUCCGCAGUGAGAAAGCAGAGUGUUGUCUCUGUGGCAGUCAGCCUAAGCCAUGGGCAGCAGCUGCAGGUGUUUUGGGGUGUCGCUGGUGCAGAGAUCACAGCAGCUCAGGCUGCGUGUGACAGGGCUCCUCAGCACACCCGGUCCCGCUCUCUGCCCAGACAGCCCCUGUUCCCGGAGGACGUGGAGCCUGCCUUCCAUUUUUAUUUUCGGCCCCUUAGCGCAGAGUUUGAUCAACUCAACAGGCGCUUCCGUCCUGCUGGUACGCGAAAAAAAAAUAAAUAAAAGGAAUCGCCGUCCUCAUUCCACCUAUUUUGGCGUUCUCCUUUACAAACCUCUCUCCCCCGUCCUGCGCGCCCGCCCCGCACGGCCAGCGGGCCGACCCUUGAGGGGCCCGGGCGCGCCGCCCGCCGCUCCCCGGCCCGCGGGGCACCCUCCGGCCGGACCGGGGCCGGGGCCGGGGCCGGAGCCGGGGCCGGGCUCCCCGGGGCGGCGGGGCCGGGCGCGGCCGGGGCCGGCGGUGCCCGGGCGGGCGGCAGAGGGCGCCCCGCGUUCCGCAGAGCGGGGCCGGGAGGAGCCUCCGGCGCGGCCGGGGAGGGCCGGGGGGAGGGCCGGAGCUGCCACGUCCUCGGCGGCGAGCGGCGGGCGGGGAGCGCAGCCCGCUCCUCGGCUCCACGUGUGGCGGCGGAGCGGGGAAGUUGCCGACGGCCGGCGCUGCGGACCCUGCUCCCUCUCCCGCCGCUGCCGAGCCCUCGCCGUCCCUCGGGAGAAGGCAACUCCAAUUUCUUGCACAGCCAACCACUCAACAGAAAAGGAAUUCUUCAGCCUCUUGUUUCAAAAGGCCUUGGACAAUCUUCUGCUGUUCCACUCCCUUUAGUCCCACAUUUCAACCAAAAAAAAAGAUCCAGAGAGGAGGAUGAGGCAGCUUAGAGGAAAACCCAAAAAAGAGACCUCCAAAGAUAAAAAGGAGAGAAAACAGGCAAUGCAAGAGGCCCGGCAACAGAUCACCACCGUGGUGCUUCCCACGCUGGCUGUAGUAGUACUGCUGAUUGUUGUGUUUGUUUAUGUAGCGACUCGUCCAAAUACAACUGAAUGAUGCAGCUUUUCAGAAUCUCUAGCUUUGGGAUAUUGAUUUCACCAAGAGCCAAAAGGAACUCUCUGCCACUCUUUUAGUACUUUGCAAAGGGUCUUGCUGGUAUUUUCAGUCUUUCUUUUGGCUAGAGUCCCACGGAUUCUCUUUAGGAAUGUAACAUAAAACGUAUUAGUGAAUGUGCCAGUACGUUUUAUGGUCGAGUUAUGUGCCUUUCAGACUUUUAAAAAUGGUGUUUUUCUUAAAGCUGUUUGAAGCUCUAUAUUGUAAAAAGAAAUCGUGUUCCGCUAUAAAUUUGUAAAAAAUCAGCUUUCAGCUUUUAUCACUGUUAUGGAUAAUGUUGCUCCCAUGAGCUCUUGUAUGUCUAUUUCAGAACUUCCAAAGAAGUACAUUUCUUCUUUGUACUUAAUGUCAUAUGAAGUGCUUUGAUUCAGAAAGGAUAUAUUUAUUUUUUGAAUAAAAGAAGUCUUACUUGGAAUCUUCAAAUUAUUUUGCAAAAAAAAUGUGACAUUGUGAAAGCCUACAUUGUGUAAUGAUUUUUUCAUUAACCACUAUAUAGUUCACUCAAAAAGAAUUUCUUUUUGGUGUGAGAUGCCAACAUGCAAAGUGAAUACUUCAGGAUCUGCUGGAUGGAAUCUUAUGGAAUUUGGACAGGGAGAUUCUGCCAGGUUAUGGUGAAGUAACUAAUAACAAACUACAUAAACACAGAUAGUUGUUUAUCUGAAUGUUCAAUAUUUGAAACUAUGUAAGUGGCAAUAAAAAGGUGGUAUUGCAUACAGCUCUUCAUUAUUUAUUAAGAAGGGAAAAGUAAGAGUGUGACUUUGGUCUCUGAUGUGUUUGCUGAAGUGAGCUGCUGUCCUGUGGCAUGCCCCCAUCCCCUCAUUGAAAGGAAGCUGUGAACACAGAUUGGGCAGUUUAAUUCUAGGAAAUUAAGCUACAAAUUCUCAUCAAAAUGCCUCAAUGACCCUGUAUUCUGCUACAGCCCCUUCUCAUCCAAGUAUUUUAAGGCACUCAAUAGGCAUUAACCUUCAGAAGAUUUGGAGGAAGGACAUUGAAAACUCUUCACUGCUGCUUAAAUGCAGGCCAAGCAAGGAAGAAAGUGAUGCUACAGUGCACUGGUGCAUGGCAGGAAAUAUUUCUGUGCUGAAAGUUAAAGCCCCCUUGGGUCUUUCCCUCGUGUAGUCUUUUGGCUCAGGGACAAUCCCAGUGAAGUCAGCGGGACUCUUCACUGAGGUGCUGAUGAAAGAGGGGGCUGUUUCCUGCAUCACCCCCAGGUACUGCUCCUGUGCAGAAUGCUGCUGCCAGCCAAAGUUGCUUUACAAAAAAACCCACUUCAGGUGAGCAAAUGCAGUGAGUCCUUGCAGUGUACUUGGCCCUAAGGCCCGUGUUCCCAGCAGGGUGAGGCUAUGGUUGGCUAUAAACCAGCUCCACUGGGAAUGAUGCAGAUACCUGAUGGUGUGAGGAUGGCCGUGGCUCCUGACGUGGUGCUAAUGCUGCUGGGAGCAUCUAGAAUAAAACUGGCCCCGAAGACUGAGAUGUUUUUGAAAUACAAAGUUUACUAAAACCUAAAGAAAGAGUUUGGAUGGACUGUGAAAUUGCUCCCCCCUGCAGCUUGUAUCAUGGUUGGGAUAUCUGCACAGACAGCACGGGCAGCGUGGUCUGACUGCAGGAGCGUUCACCCACCGAGUGACCAGCGGGAAGUCGGCUGGCAAACCCCUGUGCUCAGCGAGCCGUGUGCUGACACUGAAAUUAUCUGUGCUUUGCACUGACAACCGCUUCCUCCAACUGGGGAGCUCUGAAAUGAUGAGUCUGUAAAGGUAAUUGCUUAGUCUGUCAUCUCCCAGCUGUUUCUGUUCUCCCAGGCACCAAAUCCUUGUCCUAUUUUUAUUUUAUCCUCAGUCAGGGAUGGCUGCAAUGGAGCUCUGGUAGUUUUCACCUUUUUCAGCUGAGCUGUUCAGCUUAAAUAAAAUUUGUGCC